UCGCGUAUGGUGUAGCGGUAACAUAGCUGACUCUCAUGGUUUUUCUGAUGAACCAAGAAAAGUUUCUCAGCAGCCCGGGGUUCGACUCCCCGUAUGCGAG